rnacentral:rRNA from 1 species
CGCCCGCUCAGAAACUCAAAGGAUUGACGGGGGCCCGCACAAGCGGUGGAGCAUGUGGUUUAAUUCGAUGAUACGCGAGGAACCUUACCUGGGCUCAAAUGUAUGUUGACGUAUUCUGAAAGGGAUACUUCUUCGGACAAUAUACAAGGUGCUGCAUGGUUGUCGUCAGCUCGUGCCGUGAGGUGUCGGGUUAAGUCCCAUAACGAGCGCAACCCCUAUCAUUAGUUGCCAUCAGGUCAAGCUGGGGACUCUAAUGAAACUGCCUACGCAAGUAGUGAGGAAGGCGGGGAUGACGUCAAAUCAGCACGGCCCUUACGUCCAGGGCUACACACGUGCUACAAUGGCCGAUACAGAGGGCAGCUACCUGGUGACAGGAUGCAAAUCUCCAAAGUCGGUCUCAGUUCGGAUCGGAGUCUGCAACCCGACUCCGUGAAGUUGGAUUCGCUAGUAAUCGCGCAUCAGCCAUGGCGCGGUGAAUACGUUCCCGGGCCUU